CUUCAUCUCUACUUAAAUGGCUAAAGUUUCUGCCUUAUUCUGAUUUACAGGAAGGCGUUCAACAGCUUGUGUUGGGUUUGUACAUAAUAAGGGGUGACAACAUAAGCAUUGUCGGGGAACUAGAUGAAGAGCUGGAUUCUAGCCUUGAUCUAUCGAAACUGAGAGCACAUCCCCUCAAGCCUGUCACUCAUUGACUGGGAAAGGUGUUGAAACUGAGAAAGGUGUUGAGAAGUUCCUGACUCUAUAAUUAGAUUGGACUGAUGAAAAAUGUAUGCUGAUAUAUGUAGUUAUAACAACCAGAAGUUAUGAUGUUCUAAAGAGGAGGUUGUUUUUCAUGCCACCCUGAGUUGUUAUCCUUGAUGCUGUUGAUGCUGAAUGUUUUCUUCGACUCUUAUGUUUUGCAUUAAUAACUCGACAAUUAUAUCAUAUUAUCAACUUAAUUGUAUUGAGAGCAUGACUUAUUUGGUUAAA